CCCAGUAACGGCGAGUGAAGCGGCAACAGCUCAAAUUUGAAAUCUGGCCCCCCGGCCCGAGUUGUAAUUUGCAGAGGAUGCUUUUGGUGAGGCACCUACCGAGUCCCCUGGAAUGGGGCGCCAUAGAGGGUGAGAGCCCCGUAUGGUAGGACGCCGAACCUCUGUAAAGCUCCUUCGACGAGUCGAGUAGUUUGGGAAUGCUGCUCUAAAUGGGAGGUAAAUUUCUUCUAAAGCUAAAUACCGGCCAGAGACCGAUAGCGCACAAGUAGAGUGAUCGAAAGAUGAAAAGCACUUUGAAAAGAGGGUUAAAAAGUACGUGAAAUUGUUGAAAGGGAAGCGCUUGUGACCAGACUUGCGCCGGGCGGAUCAUCCAGCGUUCUCGCUGGUGCACUCCGCCCGGUUCAGGCCAGCAUCGGUUUUCGCCGGGGGACAAAGGCUUCGGGAACGUGGCUCCUUUCGGGGAGUGUUAUAGCCCGUUGCGUAAUACCCCGGCGGGGACCGACGACCGCGCUUCGGCAAGGAUGCUGGCGUAAUGGUCAUCAGCGACCCGUCUUGAAACACGGACCGAGGAGUCAAGCAUUAGUGCGAGUGUUUGGGUGUAAAACCCGCACGCGUAAUGAAAGUGAACGUAGGUGAGAGCUUCGGCGCAUCAUCGACCGAUCCUGAUGUUUUCGGAAGGAUUUGAGUAGGAGCAUUAACGCUUGGACCCGAAAGAUGGUGAACUAUACUUGAAUAGGGUGAAGCCAGAGGAAACUCUGGUGGAGGCUCGCAGCGGUUCUGACGUGCAAAUCGAUCGUCAAAUUUGAGUAUAGGGGCGAAAGACUAAUCGA
rnacentral:rRNA from 1 species